rnacentral:rRNA from 1 species
GAUCCUGGCUCAGGAUGAACGCUAGCUACAGGCUUAACACAUGCAAGUCGAGGGGCAGCAUGGUCUUAGCUUGCUAAGGCCGAUGGCGACCGGCGCACGGGUGAGUAACGCGUAUCCAACCUGCCUUACACUCUUGGACAGCCUUCUGAAAGGGAGAUUAAUACCCAAUGAUAUCUCUAGAAGACAUCUGAAAGAGAUUAAAGAUUUAUCGGUGAUGGAUGGGGAUGCGU